GCUGGAGAGGCUCAGUGGUUAAGAGCACCGGCUCUUCCAGAGGUCCUGAGUUCAAUUCCCAGCAACCACA
rnacentral:tRNA from 1 species